rnacentral:rRNA from 1 species
CCUGUUAUCUAGUUUUGAGAGAACACACCCGUUCCCAUACCGAACACGGAAGUUAAGCUCUUCAGCGCCGAUGGUAGUCGGGGGUUUCCCCCUGUGAGAGUAGGACGCCGCCAAGC